UUCUAAUUCCAUUUAGUAUUUACACCAGCAAUGUGCAAACCUCUAUGCCUUGUCAAAUGUUUUCAUUUUUGAGCUGUCACAUUAUAGACACGAAAAGUGACAGUUUCAACAUACUGACACUAAUGUCACAGCAUAAACAAAUAUUUUUCCUGGCUGCUGCUUCAGAAUAAACCUGAAAAGGUAAAAACCGUGAAAUAAAUUAGUAAACAAUUCAAAAUAGGUUGUUGGACACUCCGAUUAAAUUGAUAAACAUUGAACAGACUGGAGACAGUCAAGACUGAUUCGGCAUUUCCAUAGUAAUGGAGGUAGCGUGCUAUGUUUGCAACAAAUGUUCUACAAUUUACCAACAGAAUUUGACUGAGAUCAAGUCAAACCAUUCUGGAAAACAGGUUUGUGACUUCAUCAAACAGCUCACGAGGGAUUUUGCUACAACUCGAGAUGUAGAGGACGAAUCGAAUUGCAUUUGUGGCGAUUGCUUGCAGAAAGUGUUCGUCUAUGAUUGGGCAUGUGUAGAAGCGGAAAAACAAGAGAAGAAACUAAUUGAACUGCUUUGGGCAACUGAGAAGAUCUGGAGUAAGAGAAGAGUUGAGAUAAAAGUCGAGAAAGAUGUUGAUGUGUGUCACACCGAAUCGAUAUUUGUAGAAGAAAAUCAUAAUUUUGUGGGUGAAGAAAUCGACAUUAAGACGGAGCCGACAGAACAGAUGGACGAAGAUGAUUUUUUGAUGGACGAAGAGUUGAACACACAUAAAAUUACAACUCCGACAGCAGAAACACAGGAAAAAGCGGAUAAAGUGAUAGGACAACCGAAGCAUCUGUCCACAGACAAAACGAUAUUCAUUCAAAAAGAUGGGAAAUUAGUGAAAGUACGGCUCGUGAAAAAAUGCAGCAAUGGCGGGCCAUCGAUUGACAAUCUGUUGAAAACUAAAGAUGGGAAAAUAGUUACCAUUAAACUGGAAGGAAACCAAACACUGGCACAGGCACCAAUAGAGACAAGAAAAAACGUUCCAACGUUUGCGAAACCAAUUCCAUCCGAAAUAGUAGUCUCGAGUCAGACACCGAAACAGCCGGAAAAAUCGAUCGUGACUGAAACGUUGACAAAACCAAUUAUUCGACGAAUAAUACCACAGCCAAAAAUCGUAGUGCCAAGUAGUGCACAAAAUCAGACGCCAAUUACAUUACCCAUCAAUGUGCCUACUCAAUUAUCGAUUAAUGUCCCGACUCGAAUGUCGGCUCAAGCAAUAACUCAAACUCCGAUGCAAAUGUCAAUUCAAAGGCAAUAUUACGCGCCAAAUCCAAUACCAAAACCAAUGCCAACUCAAGCCGAAAUUCAAAAACAAAUUGCAGAGCUUGAGUCUAGUAUGGUCCGUCGUACGGUGCCAUUAAAAACAUUCACACGUGAGUGUAAGAUAUGCGACGAUGGAACUAAAUACUCCAAAAAAGGCUAUUUUGCACACAUGAAAAAUCACAAAACUGCGUGUCAAAUGUGUGACAUGAAAUUUGUUCGAGCAAAACAACAGCGAAUCCAUAUGAAAUGGCACGAAUCAAAUCCGGGAUUUAUCUGUCGAUUCUGUUAUCAUGAGGUAGAGGACAAGACUUCAUACAAGGAACACUUGGAAUUGCACAAAGAUAAAGACCCAUUAGCAUGUGUUCUUUGCGAAGGAGUUUACUGUGAUAAACGAUCUUUAAGGAAACACGUUGAAGUUCAACACAACAAAAACUCAGAGCAUCUAUGCGAUGUAUGUUGAAAAAAAUUCAGCUACAACUCAAGCUUACUAUUUCAUAAAGCUGCUGUUCACAUUGAAGGACGACCGAAAAAGUGCACCAAAUGUCCAAAGACCUUCACCCACAAAAUUUAUUUGGAAAGACACAUGGAAACCCACACGGUUAUCGGUCGGUCGUUGUCAUGUUCGAUUUGUAAUGUGAAAUUUAAACACCAGAAAUACUUGACAGCCCAUGAAAAGCGGCAUAAGGAAGACACAAAAACGGUAAAAUGUUCCCUUUGUCCGGCGGCCUACGAGCAUAAGUUUCACUUGAAAGAGCACAUCAAACGAAAACACAGCGCUGAAGUGCCAAGCGGACAAUUAGACAUUACAGAAUCGAAUACGCAAGAAUGAAGAUGAAUAAAAUUUGUAAAAAUAAAAACUGAAAAUAUUUAGAAGAAGAGUUUUAAAACAUUUUCUGGAAAAAUAGUA